UACGAGGGGGGCAAGCGUUGUUCGGAUUUAUUGGGCGUAAAGGGUGCGUAGGCGGUUUGGCAAGUCUUAUGUGAAAUCUUCGGGCUCAACCCGAAGCCUGCAUAAGAAACUGCCGGGCUUGAGUAUGGGAGAGGUGAGUGGAAUUUCCGGUGUAGCGGUGAAAUGCGUAGAUAUCGGAAGGAACACCUGUGGCGAAAGCGACUUCCUGGUCGAAUACUGACGUUCAUGUGCGAAAGCGUGGGGAGCAAACAG
rnacentral:rRNA from 1 species